rnacentral:rRNA from 1 species
GACGAACGCUGGCGGCGUGCCUAAUACAUGCAAGUCGAACGCAGUGGGGACGGGUGAGUAACACGUGGGUAACCUCCCAUCAGAGGGGAUAACACUUGGAAACAGGUGCUAAACCGAUACUGAUGGAUGGACCCGCGGUGCAUUAGCUAGUUGGUGAGGUAACGGCUCACCAAGGCCAAGAUGCAUAGCCGACCUGAUAGGGCGAUCGCCCACACUGUGACUGGUACACGGCCCAGACUCGUCCGGAAGGCAGCAGUAGGGUAUCUUCGGCAAUGGUCGAAAAUGUGACCGACCAACGCCGCGUGAGGUAAGCAGGUUUUCGGUUCGUAAAACUCUUUUGUUAGGGAAGCGGUAUCUAACCAGAAAGCCACGGCUAACUACGUGCCCGCCGCCGCGGUAAUAC